rnacentral:lncRNA from 10 species
ACCCAGUUUCAUUCAGGUACGCAGGUGGAAGCACAGAGGAGGUGGAGAGUUGAUUUAACCAGGAGUGUUGCUUAGAUAAGUGCCACAAGAUAUUCUAGUGAGUGACUGACAUAAUUUAAGCUGGGCCAGGAAAGAAGACAGAAAGGAUACCAGGUGUUCUUUCAGCUAUCUGCUACUCAUCCACCAACUCCCUCUGGACCUCAGCAUGGGCUGGAACCUGACCCUGGAACUGACACAGGCCUAAGUAUUGUUGAUGAGAAAUGACCCCAAGUUCUUUGCAGUGCCUUCUAUCCACAGUGAAGUCUGUUUCUCUGCCUCUUGAACCUGAGCUGGCCCUGUGAUUUGACCAAGAGAAAGAGGAAAAAGUAAUGUAUGACUUCUGAGCUUCUGCCUCAAGAGGCCUGGCAGCUUCGGCUUUGCUAAGCUGCCACCACUACAUUAAAAAACAAAACACCUCUUUGAGGAUGAAAUACUACUUGGAGAGAGAAGUCCAGCUGAAUCCAGUCCCCAGCCAGCUCACAACCAAAGGCAUGAGUGAGCCCAGUGGCUGUACACCAAAGUUAAUCACCAGCCUGGUUUCCAACAGCAUAGAUUUGGUUUCUCCAUGUUUGUAAAUGAAAUCAUACAGCUUGUCCUCUUUUGCGUCUGGCUUCUUUUACUGAAAGUGAUCUAUAGAUUGACUGCAAUUCCUAGCAAAAUUGCAACGGCAAUGGGGAGAAGAGGAAGAUAGCUGGAUAGAAGGCUCUACUAAUUGUCUCCCUGACAGGAACACAACACUUAACAACUAUCUACAUAAAAAUCACCUUCAAAAGAACCAAAAGUCAGGUGAGCAAUUAUAGUACCUAUUUUUAGUGUCAUAUUGCUGAAAGGGACAUUGAAAAGGGUAAGAAUGACAGUCUUGUAUUGCUGGUGCCACACUUCCCCAACCCCUCAGAAGUGGCUGUGUGGUGUGGAGACAGAAUCUGUAUGCUUGGAGGAGGGGAGAGCAAAGCAAUUGUCAGACUUUGCAUUGAACUCAAUGCCACCCUGUAACAGCAGAAAGCAAAACUGGGCUGA